AAUUCUCUGCGGUGGCCACCAAUGCGGCGGCGCUACGGUAUUUUCCCCACAUUCACCACCAAAAGUUCGGUGUUUGUACAGUAGUACGACGUGUAGGACUCUGUAUAGUACUUGUCUUAUGGAAAAUUUGUAUAGCGUGACACAAGACGUUCCUGGAACUUUGUUCCGGAUUCGCCUGUCAGAUGGCUGAUUCCUCAGAGUUUUGUGAAUUUUCUUAUUAGUGAAAAAUGAUAAAUUAGUGUUUUUUCAAGCAAUUGACCAGCAGGAUUCCAGAGAACAGUACAGAGUAUUUCACAACAAAUUUCAAAACUUCGAAACUGGACAUUAUUGUAAACAACUUGAUUGGAAGAUGAAAGAACACCCUGGAAUUCCACGUAUUCUAAUAUAGCUCAGAGAAACUGGAGUGAACCGAGUUAGCACUUAUUGAGAGCCAGCAGACGAUAAUCAGUUAAAUGACGAGAAGGACGCACAUAAGGAAACACAAGCGGUUAAGGAAACAUCGGCAGAAAACAUAAUUUCUAAUUAAUUUAAAUAUAUUGUUCAAAUUUUCUCCGUUUUGUAUGGUAUUCGCACUUUCACGAUUUGAGUAGCACAAUAUGCAUGGAUUAAUACAUUUUUAAUAAAACACUUUUUUUUAAUAAAAUAUUAAUCAAUAGUUAAUUAUUAUUGAAAGAAAUUGUUUUUUGUGCCUAAUUAUCAUCUAAUUUUUAUCACUAGAAUGAAUGAAACGCCACUCUUUAAUAAUCUUUUUAAGAAAAUCAGCAAAAAAUAUUUAUGAAAAUUUAAAAUUAAGGAUAAUGUUCAGUAUAAACCUUUUUAAGAUAA